CUCUCUGCACAGUGGCCCCAUCACAGUCAGUGAGGUUUACCCGAGGCACGAUUAUUGCUCAUUGAAAACUUCCCAAUACCACAAGAUAACUUGCAAUAGAGCUGGCACUGGCCAUUUCCUUUUUUUUUGAGACGGAGUCUCGCUCU
rnacentral:snRNA from 1 species